UAGAGCUGCAAUGUACACAUUGCAGUUCUCUGCAACUGCAAUGUUUUGCAUUGCAGUACUA
rnacentral:miRNA from 1 species